CCUUGCCUUUUCAGCAAGUCCCGUCGGUGAUAUAAGGGAAUGCUCGAGAUGGAGUUUCCAUGCAGCCCCCCUGGUCUCAGGAGCCGCUCACUGGUUUCACACAGGAAUGCUGCUUACAGAACUUUAGAAAAAAGUGUUCCAGGGACAGAGGUUCCAAAAGGGAACAUUUCCAAGCUGAUUUGCUCAUGGAAGUCACUUCUUGCAGAGCACCAUGGGACAAGUGUUCUAGAGUCAACAUUUGGGAACCAGCGGUGCGGUCAGAGGCUGCCUGCUUCCCUGUCAGGCUCUGGCCACCCGGGGACGGCCAGCACCAGAAUCAUCUUCGCCCCACUCCAGGCCUCCUGAGCCACAAUCUUGGGCCCAUGGCCUGGACAUCUGCAUUUUUCCAAGCUCUCCCAGUGUUCAUUCAUUGGAUGUUCCAAAUAACGCUGUGAUGGGAGUGCUGGUAUCAUCACCCCUUUCUGGAUGGGCUGGCGGAGGCACAGAGGAAUUGGAUAACACCCCUAAGGUGCCAGAGCUGGAAGACUGUGCCUCUGACAGCUGCUGUUCCAAGGGGAAUAUGGAGUCCUGUGGAGCAAAUGUGAAUUCAGCUCGAACCUGGAGCCAAGCCCAGCUGCCCUCAGCCAAAGCACAGACAGUCUGAAAAACAGGACCUGAUCCUCUUCGGUGACACAGACAGUAAGAUGGAGGUUUCGGCUCCUACUGGUGACCAUGUUUCCAGCCAUGAGGAAGAAACUAGUCUACAAUGAAUGACAAUGAAGUCUCCUUUAAAGAAAUGGUGUUGUGGUGACAUUUGAAUUUCUGGUUCUGUUGAACCUCAAGCCUAGCUACCUCCCUGCACUUCUCCUCCUUUAGGUGUGCAACUUUUCUUGGAAUGACAUGAUAUAUCCCUGUAGCUUCCUAAAAAUUCCCUUUUCUGCCUAAGCUAGCAUUGGGAAAGAGUCACUUGCAAGGGAAAGAGUCCUAGCUAAUUGUUAAGAACGUUAAAUAGUGGAACAUACAUCCUGACACAGGGUAUUGAAUUGCUCUAUUGAAUUGAAGUGUUAAGUUAGGUUUCUAGGUUCCACAAGUCAACAGAGGCAUAAAAUUUGGCUGAAAGCAAGCUGGUCAACCUGGUGAUCGGGGUUGAAAAUAAACAUCACCAGGUAGUGAUUUUUUUUGAGAAUUACUAGUUUUUUUUCUUUUGGUGUAUUGCUAGGCAGUUUGGCAACCUCCUCAUAUGUCUAUUUUUUGGAUGCUUUUGUUUUCUAAAUUUCCUCUUUAAAAGUUUAAAUAUUUGCUUUUAGAAAUUCAAGUCAGUUUUCCUCUAGGCCGCUCAUAGUAGCAAAAAGUUGGAGCAAUCUUAAUACAUAAUAAUAAGGGAUGAGUUAGAACAAACUAUCCAUCCCCAAGAGGGCCACAGUUGGAAACACAAAUGUCUAAAAAUAUGUUGUGAAAACAUAACUGACCAUUAAGAUUAUUUUAUACUUUUAUGUUCAAUUUUCUUUUAUUUUCUUAUGAGAAAGUCAACUUAUGGAAUGUCAGAAAAUAAAAGCAAACAGAAGAAAAAUUUAAUGCAUUUUGAUAGUCACACUCACCUGGGGACAACCAAAGUUACCACCUUGGUGUAUUUUCGAUUAGAAACUUUUACAUUACAUAUGCACAUAUAUUCUCACAUUUCUUCACUUAUAACAUCUUUUAUUUCCUAUAAAAAUGAAACUAUAGCACACGUGCUUUAAAAAAACUUUAGGGGGUAUGAUUUACAUACAAUAACAUACAUUCGAUUUAAGUGUGUAUUUUAUUAGUUUUGACAAAUUCAUACAUCCUUAUAACCAUAAUAAAUAUAUAGAACAUAUCCAUCAUCCCAAAGUUCCUUUGGGCCUUUACCUAGCCGGUCUCUGCCUUGCCCUGGGCUGUAAGCAAACCAUGACCUGCUUUCUGUCACUGUAGAUAGGAUUUUUUUCUCUGAUGGUUCACAUUAAUGGAAUUAUACAGUAUGAAUUCUUUUGUGUCUGACUUCUUUCACUCAACAGGCUUUGAGAUUCAUCCAUG